GUUAUUCGAAUUUCUGGGCGUAAGCGUGGCAGGGCGGUUUGUAGACAAGAGGUGAAUCCGGCUCACCUUGGAACUGCCUUCACACGGCUAGGAGUACGCAGAGGGGGAUGAUCCGGCGUGUUAGCAGUGAAAUGCGGUAGAUAUGCGGAGGAACACCGAUGGCGAAGGCAAUCCCCUGGGCCUGUACUGACGCCCAUGCACGAAAGCGGUGGGGGAGCAACAGGAUUAGAUACCUGGUAGUCACGCCCUAAACGAUGUCAACUGGUUGUUGGGUCUUAACUGACUCAGUAACGAAGCUAACGCGUGAAGUUGACCGCCUGCCGAGUACGGCCGCAAGGUUGAAACUCAAAGGAAUUGACGGGGACCCGCACAAGCGGUGGAUGAUGUGGUUUAAUUCGAUGCAACGCGAAAAACCUUAUCCACCUUUGACAUGUACGGAAUCCUUUAGAGAUAGAGGAGUGCUCGAAAGAGAGCCGUAACACAGGUGCUGCAUGGCUGUCGUCAGCUCGUGUCGUGAGAUUGGGUUAAGUCCCGCAACGAGCGCAACCCUUGCCAUUAGUUGCUACGAAAGGGCACUCUAAUGGGACUGCCGGUGACAAACCGGAGGAAGGUGGGGAUGACGUCAAGUCCUCAUGGCCCUUAUAGGUGGGGCUACACACGUCAUACAAUGGCUGGUACAAAGGGUUGCCAACCCGCGAGGGGGAGCUAAUCCCAUAAAGCCAGUCGUAGUCCGGAUCGCAGUCUGCAACUCGACUGCGUGAAGUCGGAAUCGCUAGUAAUCGUGGAUCAGAAUGUCACGGUGAAUACGUUCCCGGGUCUUGUACACACCGCCCGUCACACCAUGGGAGCGGGUCUCGCCAGAAGUAGGUAGCCUAACCGCAAGGAGGGGGGUUACCACGGCGGGCUCCA
rnacentral:rRNA from 1 species